rnacentral:tRNA from 1 species
AGCAAUUUGGCGCAGUGGAAGCGCGGUAUGUACUUCUCCACAGUAAGAAAUUAAAAUUUAUACUAACUUAUCCCAGCCGGGCUCAUAACCCGGAGGUCGCACGAUCGAAACGUGCAAUUGCUA